rnacentral:ncRNA from 2 species
AAUAUCUGAUGAAAAUACGGUUUGAAAAGUUAUUAGCUGAGUAGAUGAAAAGGAAAUCAGGUUCGAAUCCUGAACAACCGCCAUUACUGUAUUUGACGUGUAAGAGCUGUAGCGCCGCGAGGCAUACUGCCCUCAGUCCGGCUUUGCCCGAAAAAGGCAUAGCCAUAUCAUAAGUCAGAAUACCUGCCGUAUUUGGUGCCAUCUU